GACUUGCAGCAGGAGCAUUGUGAGGCCUCCCUCCUGUCAGAUUCUGCAGGGGAAAUGCCACUUCUCUCUCUUGGGGGGAGAAUUUUAGAGAUGAAAUGGUGGUGUGAGCGUGUCAUUGGUGGGCGCCAUGCACAUGUCUAAGUCACGGAGCCAGCCUGCCAGCGAAGGGAGGCGGCAUGUACAAAGAGUUAACUGAAAUUGGUUCCACAUGAUGGAAAGAAUCGUGAGCUCUAGCUUCUAAGCAAGAUUACCUGUUUUGUAUAAGAAUUGUUUAAAAGAGGCUAAAUGUGUAUUUAGAAGUUCGUAUCUCAGAUGGAACAGAAAUAAAAGGUCACUGCAUUUGGCUCUUCUAGACCUUCCUGGCUGCCCCCCCCCUCCCUCUAAUCUGAAGCUUCUAAAUACAUCUUUCCCUUCCUCCAGGGGGAAUCCAUAAGCUGGGUUAUAAAGUCCCGAUUAAAUUAUGCUUAUUUUGCAUAAUAAGAAAAUAAAAUGUUUGACUUUGAUACCUUA